AUUGAACGCUGGCGGCAUGCCUUACACAUGCAAGUCGAACGGCAGCACGGGUGCUUGCACCUGGUGGCGAGUGGCGAACGGGUGAGUAAUACAUCGGAACAUGUCCUGUAGUGGGGGAUAGCCCGGCGAAAGCCGGAUUAAUACCGCAUACGAUCUACGGAUGAGAGCGGGGGACCUUCGGGCCUCGCGCCAUAGGGUUGGCCGAUGGCUGAUUAGCUAGUUGGUGGGGUAAAGGCCUACCAAGGCGACGAUCAGUAGCUGGUCUGAGAGGACGACCAGCCACACUGGGACUGAGACACGGCCCAGACUCCUACGGGAGGCAGCAGUGGGGAAUUUUGGACAAUGGGGGAAACCCUGAUCCAGCAAUGCCGCGUGUGUGAAGAAGGCCUUCGGGUUGUAAAGCACUUUUGUCCGGAAAGAAAUCCUUGGUCCUAAUAUGGCCGGGGGAUGACGGUACCGGAAGAAUAAGCACCGGCUAACUACGUGCCAGCCGCCGCAGUAAAAC
rnacentral:rRNA from 1 species